UACGGAGGGUGCAAGCGUUAUCCGGAUUCACUGGGUUUAAAGGGUGCGUAGGCGGUCUGAUAAGUCAGUGGUGAAAGCUCGCAGCUUAACUGUGAAACUGCCACUGAAACUGCCAGACUUGAGUACGAUUGAUGUGGGCGGAAUACAUCAUGUAGCGGUGAAAUGCUUAGAUAUGAUGUAGAACACCGAUUGCGAAGGCAGCUCACAAAAUCGCAACUGACGCUGAGGCACGAAAGCGUGGGGAGCGAACAGG
rnacentral:rRNA from 1 species